AAAAGGAAAACUAUAAACCAAACUACCAAAGUUUAACAUUUUUCUAAACAUGAAGAAAGGGAAAGGUUAAAAUGUGACAAAAAAGGACAUAAGACAUAAGAGAAAGAGAAUAAAAUAGAAAAACAUAUAGAAUAUUAGAAUUGUACAUGUACUACAAAUUUAAGAGUCAAUAAAAUGUUGUUUUUGCAAAAUGGCUGGGUGAGAACACAAAUACGUCAGGAAUUGGGUCGCUGACAAACGACAGCAAUUGACUUAGAAGAAAAGGGAGUUGGUGAAUCAACAAAGCUGUCGCUACCCACUUUUCUCAUUCUUAAAACUAACUCUUUUACUCCCAAAACUACCUCUGCAACAACACAUAACCCAGGUACAUAACUACUAUUGUUUCAGCUACUUCUUCAUCUUGUUCUUUAUUUGCAUGAUCACACUUUUCCAU
rnacentral:lncRNA from 1 species